UGAGGAAUAUUGGUCAAUGGACGAAAGUCUGAACCAGCCAUGCCGCGUGCAGGAUGAAGGCCUUCGGGUUGUAAACUGCUUUUGUACGGAACGAAAAGACUCUGGUUAAUACCUGGGGUCCAUGACGGUACCGUAAGAAUAAGCACCGGCUAACUACGUGCCAGCAGCCGCGGUAAUACGUAGGGUGCAAGCGUUAAUCGGAAUUACUGGGCGUAAAGCGUGCGCAGGCGGUUAUAUAAGACAGAUGUGAAAUCCCCGGGCUCAACCUGGGAACUGCAUUUGUGACUGUAUAGCUAGAGUACGGUAGAGGGGGAUGGAAUUCCGCGUGUAGCAGUGAAAUGCGUAGAUAUGCGGAGGAACACCGAUGGCGAAGGCAAUCCCCUGGACCUGUACUGACGCUCAUGCACGAAAGCGUGGGGAGCAAACA
rnacentral:rRNA from 1 species